rnacentral:rRNA from 1 species
AUGAUCUUUUUUAUGGUUAUGCCGGCGAUGAUAGGUGGAUUUGGUAAUUGGUUUGUUCCGGUUCUGAUAGGUGCACCUGACAUGGCAUUUCCACGAUUAAAUAAUAUAUCAUUCUGGUUGUUGCCACCAAGUCUCUUGCUCCUAUUAAGCUCAGCCUUAGUAGAAGUGGGCAGCGGCACUGGGUGGACAGUCUAUCCGCCCUUAAGUGGUAUUACCAGCCAUUCUGGAGGAGCAGUUGAUUUAGCAAUUUUUAGUCUUCAUCUAUCAGGUAUUCAUCAAUUUUAG